UACGGAGGGUGCAAGCGUUAUCCGGAUUUACUGGGUUUAAAGGGUGCGUAGGUGGAUUUGUAAGUCAGUGGUGAAAUCUCCGAGCUUAACUCGGAAACUGCCAUUGAUACUAUCAGUCUUGAAUAUUGUUGAGGUUUGCGGAAUGGGUCAUGUAGCGGUGAAAUGCAUAGAUAUGACCCGGAACACCUAUUGCGAAGGCAGCAGGCUAAACAAAGAUUGACGCUGAGGCUCGAAAGCGUGGGGAUCAAACAGG
rnacentral:rRNA from 1 species